rnacentral:rRNA from 1 species
GACGAACGCUGGCGGCGUGCCUAAUACAUGCAAGUUGAGCGCUGAAGGUUGGUACUUGUACCAACUGGAUGAGCAGCGAACGGGUGAGUAACGCGUGGGGAAUCUGCCUUUGAGCGGGGGACAACAUUUGGAAACGAAUGCUAAUACCGCAUAAAAACUUUAAACACAAGUUUUAAGUUUGAAAGAUGCAAUUGCAUCACUCAAAGAUGAUCCCGCGUUGUAUUAGCUAGUUGGUGAGGUAAAGGCUCACCAAGGCGAUGAUACAUAGCCGACCUGAGAGGGUGAUCGGCCACAUUGGGACUGAGACACGGCCCAAACUCCUACGGGAGGCAGCAGUAGGGAAUCUUCGGCAAUGGACGAAAGUCUGACCGAGCAACGCCGCGUGAGUGAAGAAGGUUUUCGGAUCGUAAAAAUCUGUUGGUAGAGAAGAAAGUUGGUGAGAGUGGAAAGCUCAUCAAGUGACGGUAACUACACAGAAAGGGACGGCUAACUACGUG